AGUACAUGUACCUAAAUUUCAAUAUAUUUUUGUUUCAGAGUGCUUAAGGAGCAUCCUUAACAUUUUGAGAGAAAAAUGAAGAUUUUGUUGAAGGGGGAAAUGUGUUUGGUACAUUACUCACAUGUUUGCCUGAAGAAGCUGCUGUUCCUUUGGAAACAUGUCUUACUUGUUUUCUGAUAUGAUAAAUGGGAGUGAGAAAAUUGUUUUGAAACACCAGCAAAAAAGACUAGAUUGUCAUUCAGUCCUAACCCCAUACAGUGUCUCUGCAGAUGAAGAUAGAUCAGGCCAAUCCAGAAACAAGAAAAGGGACAAUUUUUAGCACGUUCAUCUAUGGAGACAUGUAUCUAAAAAAGCAGAUUUUUUUUCAGUUUUAGUAGAACUUGUCGAACUUUUACUAUUUUUAAACUGUUUAUUUUACAUUUAUAUGUUGAUAUUUUGUUUUUUAAAAUUGCUGUAUUUCUUUCAUCUUGCUAUUCAGUCCCACAUAACAAAAUCUGCUGAAAUUAUUAUUUCCAUAUUUUAUAGAAGUGUCCUUUUGCAUUGUUGAUAGCAGUAAAUAUAUUUUGUCUUAAGUUAGGUUUUAAAAACAUUCACAUCCCAACUCCAAAUAAAAUACAUUUUUAUGAAUGUUACAUGUAAAUAGACAUGAAAGAUAGAAUUGUAUAUGGAAAAAAUGUAUCACGUGAACAUAUUGAAUAUUAUCAAAAGCACUGCUGACAUAAAAUAAAUUUAUUGUAUGUAGUAGACAGUCCUACAGAUCAGUGUAUUUUUACCUGAAGACAUUUUAUAUAUUUUUAUAACCAGAAAUAGUGUGAGUGUAGAAUAAAUUUAUUCUUUGUCUCAACCUUAACGUAAUUACUGUACUUUCAUAAUAA